rnacentral:rRNA from 1 species
UACAGAGGGUGCAAGCGUUGUUCGGAAUUAUUGGGCGUAAAGAGCGUGUAGGCGGCCUGGAAGGUCAGCUGUGAAAACUCGAGGCUCAACCUCGAGACGUCGGUUGAAACCACCUGGCUAGAGUCCGGAAGAGGAGUGUGGAAUUCCCGGUGUAGCGGUGAAAUGCGCAGAUAUCGGGAAGAACACCCGUGGCGAAGGCGGCACUCUGGGACGGUACUGACGCUGAGACGCGAAAGCGUGGGGAGCGAACAGG